UACGAAGGGGGCUAGCGUUGCUCGGAAUCACUGGGCGUAAAGGGUGCGUAGGCGGGUCUUUAAGUCAGGGGUGAAAUCCUGGAGCUCAACUCCAGAACUGCCUUUGAUACUGAAGAUCUUGAGUUCGGGAGAGGUGAGUGGAACUGCGAGUGUAGAGGUGAAAUCGUAGAUAUUCGCAAGAACACCAGUGGCGAAGGCGGCUCACUGGCCCGAUACUGACGCUGAGGCACGAAAGCGUGGGGAGCAAA
rnacentral:rRNA from 1 species